CGACUGAUGACGUCACAAUGCCCCUCUAGACUCCAACUUCUCCAUCAGGGAGCUGCAGAUCCUUUGGAGCCAAGGAAAGGAACUGACAUGUGAGACAGAAGUCAACUGAGGGUUCAUGAGCGAACUCCUUUGCCAAGGUCUUGGUGGACAGUCUCUCACCGUGAGAUUGUCUUAGGAAUUGUUUUACUUUGGAUCAUGAUCGUGCUUGGCUGGAUGCUUUUUGUCGGACUUGCGUGUUACAUGGGCGCAUUUCCAGAGGUGAUGCCUCCAACUCUGAAGUGGAAACAGCGAUGCCCUGUUCUGGAGAGCAAGGCGCGGCGGAGGAGCUGGGCUUUGGAGGAAGAUUUGCCCCUGUGAGUGGGUGACCAGGAACCAUGUGGAAGGGAUAUAAAUAUCCCCCUGGAGGGACCCCCGUGGAAAUAAGCAAGGAUGAUCCUGGUGAAGCAAUGCAGCUUUGAAGCUUACCUGGCUAGCUGUACAGUUCCCGUUACUGGUUUCGCAUAAAGUAAUUGCACGUUA